CUUAUGAUUACACCGGUGGCUGGAACACUUUCACUGGACACCAUAGUCCUUUGUUUGUUGGAAGCAAAGAUCGUCUUGACUUUCUCUUCUAUAAUACAAAUUAUACUGUUCAUUAUUAUCAAAGCAAAGGUGCACCCGGAAAUAAGUUGCUAAUUGGAAUAGCAACUUAUGGACGAAGCUUUAAACUUACUACUAGUGAUACAAAGGUUGGUGCUACAGCAUCCGGUGCUGGACCGGAAGGCACAAUAACGAAAGCAGCAGGUAUCCUGGCAAAUUAUGAGGUAUGCGACUUUUUGAAUGGAGCAGAAAAACAUUUGAUUGCAGAUCAGAAGGUUCCGUAUGCAGUCAAAGGAGAUGUAUGGUUGGGCUAUAUUGACAAAGACAGUAUUAUUGCCAAAAUUAAAUGGUUGAAGGAGAAAAAGUUUGGAGGAGCUUUUGUGUGGACACUUGAUUUUGAUGAUGCAAAUAACCAUUGUAAACAAGGAGUACAUCCUCUAGUGCAGACGGUGAGAAACGAACUUGUAGGG